rnacentral:rRNA from 1 species
UCAGGGUCUGACUCAAUGACUUUUAAGUUAAAUAGCUGCGGUAUUUUGACUGUACAAAGGUAGCAUAAUCAUUAGCUUAUUAAUUGUAAGCUGGAAUGAAAGAUUUAAUGUGAUAUAAUCUUUUUUAAUAAGAUAAAUUGAACUUAAUUUUUAAGUGAAAAAGCUUAAAUAAUAAUAAGGGACGAGAAGACCCUGUAGAUUUUUAUAUUUGGGUUAAUAGAAUAGGUUUAUUUUUAAGCGGGCUAUUAUUUUAAAUAUUUAAAUGGGGAAUUUAUAAAAUUAAAUAAUUUUUAUAAAUAUUAAUAUAUAUUAAUAAUUUAAUAUGAUUUGAUUUAUAUAUUGUAAGUAGAUAAAAAUACCUCAGGGAUAACAGCAUAAUAAUUUUUGGGAGAUCGUAUUUCAAUGAUUGUUUGUGACCUCGAUGUU